UCCGGUUUGAAACCGGCGGUCCCGGUAGACAUAGUAACUACCAGCCCUUGACAUGGGCGUCGCGGGAUCGAGAGAUUGAUCCCUUCAGUUCGGCUGGACGCCACACAGGUGCUGCAUGGCUGUCGUCAGCUCGUGUCGUGAGAUGUUGGGUUAAGUCCCGCAACGAGCGCAACCCUCAUCUUCAGUUGCCAUCGGUUCGGCCGGGCACUCUGGAGAAACUGCCGGUGACAAGCCGGAGGAAGGUGGGGAUGACGUGAGUCAGUCAA
rnacentral:misc_RNA from 1 species